AUGGAGACAUACUAGGAUGGAUGAAACCCUUGUCUAAAAGAUCCUUUAGUUGCUCCUUAAGAUCUUUUAACCCAGCAGGAGAAGUUCUACACACCGGAAUAGAAAUAGGAUGAGUGAUUGAAACAAGAUCAAUCCUAGACUCAAGCUCCCUAUCAGGAAGGAAACCAAGAAGGUCAUCGGGGAAGACCUCAGGAAAUUCAUUCGCAACUGAG
rnacentral:lncRNA from 1 species